GCAAUCUCUUUUUGGUUGCGUGUUAAGUACUUUCCUCCUUUUAUCUUUGAGCAGACUAUGUUGCAGCCCAUCCCAAGAAAAGCAAUCGCUAUCUGGCCAGCAGCGCAGUGCCGCAAGAGAAAUUUCGUUUGCCUUCGGUUUUCAUGGAUGUGUCUUUGCUGAUUUAUAAUGCAGUCUUGGCAGCGAGGAUAAUGAAUGCAACGCUUGUGCUGCCGGAGUUGGAUUACCAACGAGAGUGCCACCACCUGGCCUCCAAAAUCACCUUGUCCAGUAGAACGAUAUAGAAGGGACCGCUUUGGUGGUGUGGUUUCUCGCCAUCAGCGACACCUGGAGCUUGGUUUCUUAUCUUGUCUCCACUAAGGUAAGCAGUCAUCUUUGCUUCGGGUACUAGCUUUGCCUGGAGCCGCUCUCGACUUUGGGAUCAGGUAAUCCUUUUAAUCUGUUAGUUGCAAACGGCUAGCUUUUUUCAGCCAGCCAGAGAACGACGAGCAUAGCGACUUGUUCCCGGCCAUCGUUUCUACCUGGAUGAUUUUGGUUGUGCCGUAGAUUUGAACAGGAAACAGCGGCCAAUUUGCUCUACUAGAGAAGCAAGGAGCUUCGUUUUUGCUAGCU